UAAUGAUUAAAUAAUCACAUCAAAUAUACAUUCUUGUCAGAAGUCUAGAUAAGCUGCGUAUCUGCGUAAAAUACGCAUUUAAGUUUCCAAAAUACGCACAGAAAUAUAUCUGUAGCGUCCCAAAUACGCAAAGGAAAUUACAGA